GGGGUUAGGGACAGGGUAGAGGUAGGCUGAGAGGAGCCCUUAUGGAUUGGAGCCGUUCAGCACCUUGACUGAGGUGACAGGUGCAUGAACCUGCAUGGGUGAUGAAACUGAUUGGAACAGCACACG